rnacentral:lncRNA from 1 species
CCGGCUAGGCAGGGAGAACGAGAAGGAACUCUGAAAGGAGGGAUCGAGUCGCCAUCGAUCCAACCUUUCCAUCGGUCAAGGCGAAAGCGAUCGAUCAUAUCGCAAUGCACCUCUGCAGCGGUCUGGCCGUUACAACGCGCACAACCGUCAACCGCCAUGCGUCCGCGUAAACAAGGACCCACCCACCGACCCCGCCGACCGUUAACACGAUUCUGCUCUGUUUCUUCUUCGUCGCUCGCCAUGUGCACCUUCGCCGUCCGUCGCCAUCUCCGGUUCUCCCCGCCACGCCAGGCGCCACACGUCUCGACAGCAUGCGCAGAGCGGUAACUUCGGAUGGGUACCUCCUCUACGCCCCGUGAAAGUGAUGCGAAUCAAGGCCUCGGAUAUACCAUGGACGGCUCCAUCUCUACGGACUAACGAUCCUUGAUCAGCAAAAAACUAACGAUCCAGUCUGCAAAAAAAAAAAUACAAUCAAUUCUGAUAUACCAUAGAUUGAUUUAUAUAUAAUUAUGCUUUUUCUAAUCCUAAAAAAA